CACGUAGGGCGCAAGCGUUGUCCGGAAUUAUUGGGCGUAAAGAGCUCGUAGGCGGUCUGUUGCGUCCGCUGUGAAAACCCGGGGCUUAACCCCUGGCUUGCAGUGGAUACGGACAGACUAGAGGUAGGUAGGGGAGAAUGGAAUUCCUGGUGUAGCGGUGAAAUGCGUAGAUAUCAGGAAGAACACCCGUGGCGAAGGCGGCUCUCUGGGACGUGACUGACGCUGAGACGCGAAAGCGUGGGGAGCGAACAGG
rnacentral:rRNA from 1 species